rnacentral:rRNA from 1 species
UUCCUACGGGGCGCAGCAGUGGGGAAUAUUGCGCAAUGGGCGAAAGCCUGACGCAGCGACGCCGCGUGAAUGACGAAGGCCUUCGGGUCGUAAAGUUCUUUCGACAGGGAAGAAAAUGCCUAUAAGCAACUGUGUAUGUAUUGACGGUACCUGUAUAAGCAGCCCCGGCUAACUCCGUGCCAGCAGCCGCGGUAAUACGGAGGGGGCGAGCGUUGUUCGGAGUGACUGGGCGUAAAGAGCACGUAGGCGGUGUUGUAAGUCAUUAGUCAAAGACUAGAGCUCAACUUUAGUAAGGCUAGUGAUAC